CACACAAGCUGCAAGAGCUGCACCCACCCUCUGAAAUGAUCUUUGUGUCACGCAACAUAAGAUUAAGCAAUCAUCUCCCUUCCUUCCACUGAUUUGCUCUAAUACAGCAGCUGA